rnacentral:rRNA from 1 species
AUUUUUUUUUUUGAAAAGUUGAUCAUAUUUUAUUUUCUGAUCAAUUUUUUUUUCAAAAAAAAUAAAAUAACAACAGAAAACACAAAAAGAGUUGAAUUGUUUUUUAUUGGAAAAAUUGUUUCAUAUUAAAGAGACAUUUUCAAAAAACAACAAAAAAAACCAAAAAAAAAAAAAAACCAAAAUCCCCCAUUUGUAAAAUAUAUUAUUAAAUCAUGUCGAAAGCACCAUCCAAACGAUACACGCUGAAAUAUAUGCCGAAAGGUGUCAGUAGCGUUGCAUUGUUGCAAGGAAACACUAGAGUU